rnacentral:rRNA from 1 species
ACUGGACAAUCAUACAACCUUUUUAAUUUUCAUUCAGCGUCUAAAUAAUUAUAAUAAUUACAACUUUCAACAACGGAUCUCUUGGUUCUGGCAUCGAUGAAGAACGCAGCGAAAUGCGAUAAGUAGUGUGAAUUGCAGAAUUCAGUGAAUCAUCGAAU